AGGAGAAUCGCUUGAAUCCAGGAGGCCGAGGUUGCAGUGAGCCAAGAUCACGCCACUGCACUGCAGCCUGGGUGACAGAGUGAGACUCCGUCUCAAAAAAAAAAAAAAAAAAAAAAAUUAAAUGAGGUUUAAGGAUGGGGCCCAGUCUGGUAGUUUGUUCAAUUUCUUUUCAAAAGAGCAUUGUUUUUGUUUUUGUUUUUGUUUUUUGGCAUGAGGUUGUAAUCGCUGUGUGCCUGGGGUCGGGAGGCUGACUGACAAGGCAGCUUCCUCCACAGACUUCCAGCAACAGUCCUGCCCUGGCUGCGCUCCUCUCCCCCAGGCCUCCAGGCCACCAGCUUGCAGCCUGUGCUCCUCUGGGGAGGGAUCCCCCGCUCCCCCACUCCCAGCCUCGCCCUGACAGUGAUCCGAGUUGCGGAUUUUGGCUUUCUCCUCCAUCCUCACCCGUCCAAUUGCCCUCCAGCUCACAGAAUCAUUUUCUCAAAAUUUUCAACUGCUAAUGACCCUGUCACCAGGCCACCUGGCAGGGAAGCCCACUUGUCCCCUACCAAUAGGCCCAUGGUGUCUUGGAGUCUCACAAAACUCGGCUGGAAAUCUCUGGCCCCAGAGGGAGGAAGAUGCUUCUCUAUUUCUACCUGAGGCCUUCCUUAGGCUCCUGGUCAGGAAGGGAGAAGAGACCCCGGGCAAGGGGUGAGAAGUGGGGGUGGGGGAGUCUUGCCCCUUCCUCUGGACGACAGAGCCCAUUACUAGAGGGAAUUUCAAUGGUGUUUCCAACCCCAGGUCUCACCCAGGAAGGAGGAAUCUAAACAAACUCAGCUGCCAGUGGCUCCCCCAUAGCGACAGUUUGAGGCCGGAUUCACUGAAGUUUUCACAGAUGAGUCUAGGUAAAGUUGUGGGGGUUUUUGCUGUUGUUUUGUUUUGUUUUGUUUCUUUGAGACAGGGUCUCAGUCUGUCGCCCAGGCUGGAGUGCAGUUGAGUGAUCUUGGCUCACUGCAGACUCCAACUCCUGGAUUCAAGUGAUUCUCCUGCCUCAGCCACCCAAGGUGUGAGCCACCAUGCCCAGCUAAUUUUUGUAUUUUUAGUAGAGACAGGGUUUUGCCAUGUUGCCCAGGCUGGCCUUGAACUCCUGAGCACAAGCGAUCCGCCCACCUCAGCCUCACAAAGUGCUGGGAUUACAGGCAUGAGCCACCGUGCCCAGCCAAAGUUGUGGUUUUAAGCAGGAUGUUCCAAAGUCCAGUGGUUAUGACCAAACGCCACACAGAGACAGAAGCCUCCCGCACAGCCCCAACUCCCAGCAGCCAUGGUGUUCCAGGUCCUCCAAAGUCAGCUUCUCCUCCAGGAGGCCACUGAGCUCCCCAGCUGCGGGGCUGAGGCCACACAGCCCUGUGCGGUUCAUCUGCCAUCCGGGCCCUUCUUCCUCUUCUGAGCUUCACAGUUAGCCCAGGGAAGAAAACAGGCGUGUCUUCCACAAAC
rnacentral:lncRNA from 1 species